rnacentral:rRNA from 1 species
GACGUAGGGCGCGAGCGUUGUCCGGAUUUAUUGGGCGUAAAGAGCUCGUAGGUGGUUUGUCGCGUUGUUCGUGAAAACUCACAGCUCAACUGUGGGCGUGCGGGCGAUACGGGCAGACUGGAGUACUGCAGGGGAGACUGGAAUUCCUGGUGUAGCGGUGGAAUGCGCAGAUAUCAGGAGGAACACCGGUGGCGAAGGCGGGUCUCUGGGCAGUAACUGACGCUGAGGAGCGAAAGCGUGGGGAGCGAACAGG